AUACGCUGUUGAUGGGCUAGAGAUAUGGUCAGCGAUCAAAGAAUGGGUCAGAGACUAUUGCUCUUUCUACUACAAGAAUGAUGAGAUGAUUCGAAAGGAUUCUGAACUACAAUCAUGGUGGAAGGAAGUGAGAGAGGAAGGGCAUGGUGACCUGAAAGAUGCACCCUGGUGGCCUAAGAUGCUGACUCGAGAAGAGCUAAUAGACUCAUGCACCAUAAUCAUAUGGGUGGCGUCAGCCCUCCAUGCAGCUGUCAAUUUUGGUCAGUACCCUUAUGCAGGCUACCUUCCCAAUCGUCCAACCGUAAGCCGAAGGUUCAUGCCCGAGGAAGGUUCUCCUGACUAUAAGGAGCUCAAGUCGAACCCUGAUAAGGCUUUCUUGAAAACAAUCACUGCACAGUUGCAAACACUUCUUGGAAUUUCCCUCAUAGAAAUUCUGUCAAGGCAUUCCUCAGAUGAGGUGUAUCUUGGACAGAGAGACACUCAUGAAUGGACAGCAGACAAGAAACCAUUAGAGGCGUUUGAGAAAUUUGGAAAGAAACUGGCAGAAAUUGAGGACAAAAUGUUAUACAUGAACAAAGCUGGGAAAUGGAAGAAUCGGGUCGGUCCAGUCGAGGUGCCAUACACUUUGUUGGUUCCUACCAGUGAAGGUGGACUCACUGGAAGGGGAAUUCCUAACAGCGUCUCAAUCUAAAUCUUCUCCAUAAGACUAUUUAUUCUAUUCUUACUCAUUUGUCGGUAUGAAAGCAGCAACUGAUUCUUGUUAGCAUCUAAGGCACAUAUGUCCUGAUGUAAUAAACUCUAUAAAUAAUGCAGAAUAAAAGUUGUUCUUUUUUGUCAUUUGAUUGGAGUUGAAUUCACUUAAACAAAAACAUUGUACUUGCUGAUGGGCUAAUUAGCUGACCAAGCAGAGUUUAAAGGGAACUUCCAUUUCUUGAUUUAAGCGCUCAAAAUGCUGACACAUUUUCUCUUCCUAAGACAGGAACUACAAUUAGAAGCGGAUAAUUUCCCUUGUAAUGAUGAAAACUUGUCCUUGUUACUGUUCUAACGUUUUUCCAUAGCUUAACCUGUUAGCUAGACUCUCCAUUGCAAAAGAGACUCUUGAAAUCAGAUCCCCCCUCCUUUAACUUGUUGAAUGAUGCAUGAAAUGCAUGGACAAUUGUUCUCUUCAUAAAGCCUUGUAAGGCCUGCUUGCAUUUUAAUCAGCAGAAGCAGAAGGUACUGAACGACAUACAUUUACUCAAUUAUAAAUGUUCUGACCAAGUACAUCCCAGUCCUUUCCCUGCCAGGCUAGCCUGGGGAAGGGAGAAAUUUUACAGUCUGAGCUUCCUAUCACAUUAACUUACUCCUGAGGAAACGUUUCAGGUGUGCUUGUAUUUUUAUCAAGAAGCAGCUACUCCUGAGUUGCUUUCUAUGCUAUUAAUUUGCUCCUGAUAAGAGCCAACAUUUCCUUAUUACUGUACUUAUCACUUAGGGUUCAUACCAUUAGGGCUAACAGGAGCGAGACAUAUAUUUUCUUAAGUUCAAACACCAUCUGUGCCUUGAUCUGCCAGGCAUGAAUUCAUCACUUACAAAGUAAAUAUUAAUUUUACUUCCUGCAACAUAAGCGAAUUUCUAGAGUUUGUGAGAAUUAAAACAUUAAUCCUCUGCUUACUUAAACUAUGCAUGUGAUCUGACAUGCAUAUUUCUUGUUAUUGUGCUCAUUGUUUAACAUUUUGUAAAGGAAUUGGAGUAAUUCAACAAGAAAAUCAAUUAAUAGAUACGCAGACAGAUUCAAAAGUUCUUAUGUUGACUCAAAAGACAAAUUUGUAAAAAACUUUCUUCAGCAUCAUACUUUUUAAUGGAGUUCUCCCUCUCCCUUUCUUCUUUGUAAGUUGUGAACGGAUUUUUGUGUGAGAGAGCUCAUUCAUUAAGGAAACCAUUGAUCCUUUUCUAAUGUAGUAAAUAGUCUUCUACAUAUUAAUUCUGUACUUUCCUCUAACUUGCUUAAUCUGACGAGGUUGAUACAAGCCUAUCUCAAGUCAGUUUUGUUUUCUAUAUAUAUUUAACUCCGCCAAUCCAUGACCCGAGCUUCGGGCUUAAUGUGAUGAUAACUAGGCAUAAAAGAAGUAAAUAAUGGCCGGUAAGUCUUAGUCUACUCGCAAAUUAAAGUCUGAUUCGAAGCUGUGUGAACCUCCUCUGUCUUAAUUUGUCCUUGAUUGCUUCCUUCAUUAAUUGUCUCAAUGCAGGGUCUUCAUCAAAUUGAAUUUGAUAUGAUGAAAAUUAUCAUAUUUGAUAUCUUCAAAAUAAAAAAAUAAAAAAGCACAUGUCAUACAUGUGGACUUGUAGUACCUGUCCUUGUAAGUAGUAGGCCAGUCUUCACAAGUCCAGUAAAAAGACUAGCAACAGGGCAAAUUCAAUAUGAAAGAGAGACUUUAACAAAACUCAUCUUUUUUCCAAGGAAAUGCAAUGUGGCAAGUGAAGCUUCUCAGUCUUUACCACGUAUAUAUCCCCUCUCUAUAAAGACCUUCUCCACUCACCUUAGGUGGCAUCACAAGCCAAGCUUUAGUAGAUUCUUUUUGUAGCCCAAGAAGAGAGCAACCAGGCAAGAGGGAAAGAAAUGUUUCAGAACAUUGUUACUGCUAUCGCAUCAUGCUGUGCAGGGGACAGUAAGAUGAAGAUCAAAGGCACUGUUGUGUUGAUGAAGAAGAAUGUCUUAGAAUUCAAUGACUUUCAUGCUUCGGUUCUUGAUCGUGGCCAUGAGUUGUUAGGCCAAGGAGUCUCUCUGCAAGUCAUUAGCGCUGCUAAAAGUGACCCUCCAGGUAUAUAUACAACAGUUCUUUCAUCAUUUUGUUGCUGGUUCAGUGCUUCAUGCAUGCCUUUUCAAUCCCAUGAUGUUUUUCUUUUGUUGCUCGAUGAAGUUCAUUAAGAACACCUAGAGGGCUAGCUAGAAUAAGCACCCAAGAGAGGAAAUUCAUACACAAAGCCAAAGGGGAGAGAGUAUAAGCCAAAGAACAAGACAAGCUAGACAUACAUGAAAAACACAAGAGAAACCUUAUCCUGCUCCCCAAGAUCAGGAUAUCAUCUUGAGAUGCGGCAGUCCAUAAACAAAAGAAAAGGAUGUAGGCUGCAAAUCAUGGCUCAUUUUUCCACAAGCCAGCUGAGCUUUAUACAAAUAGAGAAUAGGGUCCAGGGGCUGUAGAGCCAGAAGCCUGUACAACUAAACCUAGCUACCAGGCACCCCAAAAGACCACUCAACACCGAUCAGCAGCAGAUUAGUAUCCACAAGGGACACAAUCAAAUAAAUUUUGCAGCAGAAAAUUAAAGUUGGGAGACUGGGGAUACCAGUUGAAAGAUUAAACAAAUAUAUGCUGACAGAAGAUGAAGAAAUUUAUUCUCUGCAUUCACAAUAAUGUUUUACAGUGUACAUAUAUAUAUGCGUACAACUUGAAAAUAGGAUAAUUGCAGGUAUUUGAAUUUUAAACUAUAACAGAUUAUUUUUAUUCAUCUUCUUCCUCUAUCUUCCUCUGAUCUUUCUCCUAUGCUUGAUUCUGUUCCUAAUUUUGUUGAGGUUGUUAUGCUAUUCAAUACUCUAACACCCCUUCUCAAACUGUGGGGAAGAAGACAGACACACAGUUUGUCUCUUAGAAAGCAAUACCGAUUUGCAGUAUGGCUUUUUGUAAAGACAUCGGCAAUUUGGUUGUGUUGAGGUAUGCUGAAUUUGAAUAGCAUGAUUAACCACCUUCUCCUUAACGAAAUAGUAGUCAAUUUUGAUGUGUUUCGUGCGUGAAUGAAAGACAGGAUUAGAAGCUAAUGCAAUAGCACUGACAUUGUCACACCAUAAGCUUGGGGCAGUAGACAACGUUAUAAUUGAUAUGUAAUUCUUGAAGAAGCAUGCGAAGCCAGUACAGUUCAGCAGUUGUAUGAGCCAUGCUUCUAUAUUCAGCCUCUGUGCUAGAUCGAGAGACAACACUCUGCUUUUUGCUGCACCAAGAUAUAAGAUUAGUGCCAAGAAACACACCAUAACCAGUGGUGCUCCGCCUAUUAUCAGGAUUGCCUGCCCAAUCAGAGUCACAGUAGGCAUGCAUUGUGAUUGUCCCUGGAGUGUAAAGAAGACCAAACUCGAUAGUACCUUUUAGAUAGCGUAAGACAUGCUUGACAGCUAUCCAGUGCAGUUCACGCGGAAAAUGCAUAAACUGGCAUAAUUGGUUUACUGAGUAGGAAAUAUCUGGUCUUGUGAUUGUGCAGUAUUGAAGAGCCCCUACAACUCGUCGAUAUUCAGUUGGAUUUUCUAACAGUUCACCAGCAGUAGAUGGGAGUUUAGAGCCAGAGGAUGAUGGACAACGGAGAGGCCUUGCACCAAGCAUGUAGGUACUGUUGAGCAAAUCAGUGAUAUACUUAGUCUGUCGCAGAUGUAAACCAGCUUGGUUCCUAAGUGCUUCAACACCAAGAAAGUAGCUCAAUUCACCCAAGUCUUUAAUUGGAAACACAUUCUGUAGUUGAUCAAUAAAAUAAUGAACUGCUUGACGUCGGAUCCUGUGAUUAUUAUAUCAUCAACGUAUACUAACACAAAAACACGUAAAGUGUCAGAAUUGUAUGUAAACAAUGAAUAAUCCAUCUUGGAUUCUAAAAAACCAAAGUCAAUCAGUUGUUGUGAGAGACGUUUGAACCAAGCUCGAGGAGCUUGUUUGAGGCCAUAAAUAGACUUGUGUAGAUAGCAUACAUGAUUAGGAAAGGUUUGAUCUUCAUAACCUUUUGGUUGUUUCAUAUAUACUUCUUCAUCUAGAAUACCAUGCAGAAAGGCAUUGGAAACAUCCAAUUGCCGAAUAUUCCAUUUGAACGAGACUACAAGAGAGAGGAUUGACCUGAUGGUAGUAGGCUUCACUACUGGGGAAAAAGUAUCAAAGUAAUCAAUACAAGGAAUUUGUUCAAACCCCUUAGCUACAAGUCUUGCUUUGUAGCGAUCAAUACUGCCAUCAAGAUGUCUUUUAAGCUUAUACACCCAUUUAUUUCUGACAACAUGUGUAUGUAAAGGUCUAGGACAGAGAGACCAUGUGUUAUUUGCCAGUAACGCAUUAAAUUCACGUCGCAUUGCUACUUUCCAAUGUCGAUUGGAUACUGCCUUUGUGAAAUCAGAUUCAAUGACUAUACUGGAUAAAACUCGUAGAGGAUGUCGAGUAGAAUAAAAAGUUUUAAAACCAGGAAACUCUUUAGGCUUAAGACUUCCUGUUUUGGAUCUGGUAACCAUCUGUCUAGGCAGUACUGGGGACAUUGCAGGAGAGGAACUAGGAUCAGUUAACGACACAUGAUUUGUGGAAGAAGGCAGUACUGGGGAAGGCAGUAUUGGGGACAUGGCAGGACAGGAACUAGGAUCAGAUAAUGACACAUGAUUUGUGGAAGAAGGUGUAGGAAUUGGAGUUUCAAUUGCAGAAGGUUGCAAGGGUGGACUUUCAGUGUAAGGAGGACUUUCGGUAGCAGAAGAGUUUGUUGGUAUAACAGGUGGAGUAAAAUUGAAAUGUUGUGCAUGAGAAAUUAAAGGAACUAUAUUGAAAGAAAGAGUAGUACCUGAAGACUGGUUGCUCGCAGGAGUGGUAGAAGAGUGACUUUUAUCCAAGUGAGGGAAAAUGUCUUCAUCAAAAACAACAUGCCUGGAGAUAAACACCCUACCUGUAGCAAAAUCUAAACAACGAUAACCUUUUUGUUGAUUUGAGUACCCUAAGAAAAUACAUUGCUUGCUUCUGAAAGCUAACUUAUGUUUUUCAUAUGGUCUGCGAUAAGGAUAGCAUGCACAACCAAAUGUGCGCAAAUCAGAGUAUCGCGGCAUAGUUUUGUGGAGUACAAAGUAUGGUGUUAUAUUAUUAAGGACUUUUGUUGGUAAACGAUUUAUCAGGUAUACUGAAGUUAAGAAGGCAUCUACCCAAUAACAGUUUGGAAGGCAGGCUUGUGCUAAUAGGGUCAAUCCUAUUUCUUGAAUAUGUCGAUGUUUACGUUCAACAAUUCCAUUUUGUAGGGAUGUAUAGGGACAUGUCAAGCGAUGAAAUAUUCCAUGUUCAGCUAAAAAAUUUUGAAACUCUAUUGAUAAGUAUUCUCCACCAUUAUCAGAUUAUAGUUGUUGAAUUGUGCAGGAGAAUAGAUUUUCAACAAAAACUUUAUAUUGUUGAAAUAUGGAAAAGACAUCACUUUUGAAACGUAUAGGAUACAUCCAUGUAAAACGAAUGAAAUCAUCAAUGAAUAAAACGUAAUAUCGAUAUCCCCCUGCUGAAGGAACAUGAGAUAUCCAGACAUCAAUGUGAAUCAAGGCUAAAGGUCUAGCUGAUUGUCUUGGAGAAUCACUAAAAGGUAGCUUUUUAGCUUUCCCUAACUGGCAGGAAGAACAAACACUAGGCUUGCUAGGUGAAUCUUUUAUUUGCAGGAAAGAAGAUAAAUAGUUUAGAGUGGAGUUAGAAGGAUGACCAAGGCAUUUAUACCAUUGAUCCCUAGUGGCUUUUAUCCCUAAUUUAGAAGUAAAACAACGAAAUUUGUUGGUGCAACUCUUAUUCCCAUUGAUUGGAUAAAGGCCAUUCUCAACCAGCCCUUGGAGCAGCAGUCGUCUGGUCUUGUUUUCCUUGACAAAAAAAGUAGUUCCAGUAAGUAUGAAGUAACAAUUACUGUCUAGGCAGAAUUGAUUAAUGGACAACAGAUUAGAUGCAGCUUGAGGACAAUACAAGACAUUAUUCAGACGAAAAGAAUUAUGUGAUGUAUUUAACAAGGAGGAACCAGUGUUUUGAAUCAUCAAACCUGAACCAUUGCCUACUUGGACAGUAUCCAUACCAUCAUAAGGCUACAGAGUUGUUAAAUCUGCUGCAUUAGCAGUAAUGUGAGCAUUAGCCCCACUAUCAGUAUACCAAGUUUGUUGCUCAGAAGUAUUAUUGGCUUCAGCAACCAUUGCUGACAAUUCAGAAGGAGGUGGUCUGCCUUGGAAAGAAAAGUUAAACCGCUGAAAACAAUCCAACGCAGCGUGACCAUAUUUGUCACAGAUUUGACAUUGUGGUCUGUCAUAUAAAGGUACAUGAUCACUAUGAGGCUAAAUUCUGGAAGUGCCUCGAGAUUGUGGUAAUGCAGAAGUUUGCUGGAAUUUAGCAGGAAUAGUUGCAAGUUUCCUUUUUGGAUAAUGAGAUGUUUUUGCAGCAAAGGCAAAACUACGAGUUUGGAUUGUAGUGGAAGCUUCAAGUAAUGUUUCAAAACUCAGAAGUUCAGAUUGAAAAUCAUCCAGAGACAGAUCCUUAUCUCUGCAAGCAAAAUUAUAGGACGUGAUAAAGGGUGUAUAGGUGCAUGGGACGAAGUCCUCCAAUUAAAAAUGUAAUGAAGUCUUGAUCAUCUACAGGUUUGCCUACAGCAGCAAGUUGGUCAGCCAACUGUUUAGCAUCUUCAAGAAAUGCAGAACAUGGUCGAUUGCCUUGAACAAGAGUCUGAAGUUGUUUCUUAAGAAGAGCAAUGCGGGAUCUUGAGGUAGAUGAGAAUCUUGCCUGAAGAGAGUCCCAAACUUGUUUGGAAGUCUUUAGAUUAAAGACAGUAAAAACUAACUUCUUAGAAAUGGAAGCUAGCAGCCAGCUGAGAACACAAUUAUCCUUUUUGAACCAAAUUGUGUAGGCUGGAUUAGAAUAAUUAUCUGGAAAAGUUCUGGUUGGUGGCUCUUCAGAACCAUCAAUCAUACCAUCCAGAUCAUGACUGCGAAGAAAAACUUGAAAUUGAACACUUCAUGGCAGAUAAUUAUGUCCUUCAAGUCUCUGGCUGACUGGUUGUGAAUUGAAUUGAAUUUUUUAGGUGAAGAGAACAGAGGAAGGAUUGUGGAAUCAGACGAAGUCAUGGUUGAGAUGAAGAAAUAGAGAAAGAGUAUAUUUGUGUUUAAUGUGCGGAAGCUGUGGUAGAUCAGGUGUUAACUGAUACCAUGAAAGAUUAAACAAAUAUAUGCUGACAGAAGAUGAAUAAAUUUAUUCUCUGCAUUCACAAUAAUGUUUUACAGUGUACAGUGUACAUAUAUAUAUGCGUACAACUUGAAAAUACGAUAGGUGCAGGUAUUUAAAUUUUAAACUAUUACAUAUUAUCUUUAUUCAUCUUCUUCUGAUCUUCCUCUAUCUUUUUCUGAUCUUUCUCCUAUGCUUGAUUCUAUUCCUGAUUUAUUUAAGGUUGUUAUGCUAUUCAAUACUCUAACAUCAGUAAAUUUGCUAGUGGGGAUAACAAAGAAUUUUAAAUUAGCAGGUUUAAACCCUAUGCUUGAUUCUCCAUAGUUGACCAUUUUCCAUGUGUGAACUAUAGUCUUCUUUUCACACGUAUAUGCACCGUUAUAAUUAAUGAUAUUAAACUGGCCCUGUACGGUCACUCGGUACAAGGCUGUGUCAUGAGUCGGAGAAUUUAACCUUAUCCUAUUCAGUGACCUGCUCCAAGACCCGUUUCAUGAGUUAGAACAAUUUAAUUUUUAUUAUUAAAAUAAUAUAAAUUAUAUUUGUACAUCUUACUUAAUAAUUGUUUAAGCUAUUGAGUUGAGGUAAUUUUCUGACAUGAUAAUUCAAAAUAUUAUUGUUAUUAUUUUUAAAUUCAAACAAUGUUAUUUAAAAAUAAAAUAAAAAAAUAAAAUUGAGUUUUAACGGGUUGACUCCUAUCAUAACUAUAGACCAGCUUUGGUCGGGCGGGACACCUGUCAGGAGGAGCCGGGCUGGGUAUAAUGUACAUGGUUAGAAGUAAAGCAGGAAAAAAUGUAGCUUUUUCAUGGAAGUCAGAUGAGAGGAACCAAGUAUGAGUUCAUUUUCUGCUACUUUUUCAUGUUUAUGCAUACAUCAUGGUAGGGACUAGGAACAUUAAGGCUGUGACAACUCUUCAUAGUCACUGCUUGUUACUUUAUGAGAGUGCAUGAAACAAAUUUGAAGGCAGAAAUUGUUUUUUCCUAUGAUAUUUUUGCCUGUCAUAGUUUAUACGAAAACAUUAAAUAUAUAAGGAGGAUAUUUUUGCCCGUCAUAGCUUUUAGACAAGAAGGAUAUUUUUGCUGGGGAUCUCGAGCUGUGCGUGUUUUCAUAUGAUUUAACUUUUAAGAGGAUGUUUGGAAGUGUGAUAGCCAUUGUUUUUUAAAAUGUUUAUUAUUUUAAAAUAUAUUAAAAUAAUAUUUUUUUUAUUUUUUAAAAAUUAUUGUUUACAUCAUAACAUCAAAAUGAUAUGAAAAUAUAAAAAAUAUAUUAAUAAAAAUAUAAAAAAAAAUUGAACUUUUUUUAUAAGCGCUUUCAAAACAUAAUGCGAAACACUGCAUUAGGAGUAGUCACCUGCUUCUGGACGGUCUCUAGAGCGUGUUUGGUAGUGUGGUUGCGGGUGCUUUUCAAAUAGCUUUUCGUGCCGAAAUACAUGCCAAUGAUGUUUUUUCAUUUUUUAAAAAUCAUUUUUGACAUCAGCACAUCAAAACGAUCCAAAAAGUACAAACCGCACUCAAUUUUAGUAAAAAAAAAAAUUCAAAAUUUGAUGAAACGCAGUUACAAACACAAUGCCAAACGGUGUCUAAGAGUAUGUUAAUGAUAUAAAAAAAAUCCUCAAACUUAGUAUAAUUAUUUUCUAUAUCAAUAUUUACCCCUAAAACUAAUUUAAUUUCUCAAUUAUGACUUUUAUAAGAAUUACUUAAUAGAAAGCAUUAAAUUUUCAAAUGAUGUCAUGUUUUUACAAAGGAAAAGUACAAUUUUGAUUGGAAACGUGGAUGAAAUGUCUUAAGAGAUUGAGAUUGAGAUUUUAUGUAUAGUUGGAGGGCAUUUGUGAAGUUUUCCCUAGCUUGCAUGGUGUCCAUGAUGGCCAUAUUUAUUCCUAUGUGGACCCAUUCCACCUCAUUUCUUAUCCCAUGGCCUCCAUGCUCAUGCUUAUCAUUUGAUUUAUCAAAUAGUUGGUUAAUGCAGAGAUCUUGUUAGAUUUUAUGAGAUAUGGACUUGCUUUACGUACUGUCUGUUAAAUGGAGAUAACAAAAGUCUUCUUAAUUGAACAAUUAUGCCUGUGAGUGUUCAAAUUAAAGGAGGCACGGAAACUAGUAUUCUUCUUGCAAUUUAAUUCCCAAAGUUAACUACGACUACAACCGUCCCUAGUUUUUCUAUUUCGAUUGCAAUAAAACAAGUAAAAAGUAGAGGAACAAAAUAAAUUAGUAGCUUCAUUAAUUUCCCUUUUAAUUCAAAAUCACUCAUGAUUAUCUAAGAACACGUACUUUCAUACGUACACAUGGAUCCUUCAGUUGAGUUCUAAGAAGUCAUCUGGACAACGUAAUAUUAUAUCUGAGCACAAAGUUUUGAUUUGCCUUUCUAAGAACAUAUAAAGCAAAUACUUGUGUUUGUGAAACUUGACAAGCUUAUUUAUAAAAUAAGGUGUUGGUAUAAUUAUUCUUCAUUGCCUUGGACAAAAUGAUUAAUUUGUCACAAUUCAAUGAACCAAAUUGCACUGGAUUGGUAUACUUUCCAUAUGAUGUCAUGGGAAUUUCAAUUCCUAUGAUUAGGCAUGGUUUAAUACAACUGGCUGGAUAAACAACUGCAAUUUACAACAUUAAUUUCUUUGAAAUUAAUUUGAUUUUUCUUCUCAUUUGUUUCUGAUAAGGUUAUUUUGAUCAUCUUAUCCAAUAAACAAUUUCCACAAGUUUCAUGUUAUUCAUAAUCAAAACGAUCAAAAUAUCAUUCAUCAUCUAACUUAGCUAUUCUAGUUUCAUUAAUAUGAUAUAGUCUACAAUGUUAUAAAUAAAAUAAUUAUUAAUUAUUUAACUAAAAAAUAUUUAAAAAAUAGAAGCCACCGCAACACCAAAUGAAUAUGUACAAUGACACACGGGAAUGACCUAAUAUUUCUUUUUAGAUUAACGUGGAUAUUCGGGUCAACUUGCGCGAACCUCGAUUAAUCCCACGAGCUUUGAAAUUAACAACCAUGUAAGUUUUCAGUGACUCUAAAGUUUACGAAACUCGAACUAAUCAUCUUUAAAAAACCACCCUAAAAUCUAACUACUAAAAGUACAUCCACCAUCUAAUAUUGAUGGAAGAGCGAUCUGUUAAUUCUACAAGCACAAGCUACCUCUGGAGCUGUUUCAAAUCAAAUUUCUUACCAUUAGAUAAGCAACGGCGUCAAAGUUUGGUGAAUGAAUUAAGCAUGCGUGAAAGAUGUCAUUGUUGAUUUUUCUAUUUUAUUUGUGUUUAUGAUUCUUUGACGUAUGGUUUGGCAGACUUAACUGGCAAUUACGUGAGUUAACGCAAACAUGCAUGCAUAUAUAUAUAUAUAUAUAUAUAUAUAUAUAUAUAUAUAUAUAUAUAUAUUGAACAUUCAACCUAAUUACGUGACACAUAUAUUUACCUUACCAUAGGAUUAGAAAAUUAUGUAUUUCACAAAAUGAAAUAAUGUAAUGUAAUUCUCAUAAAAUAAAAUAAAACUUGAUUUAAUCCUGAUAAAUAUAGUUUAAUUGAUCAGUCAUUGAAUUUACUUUCAAAGAUCAUCAGUUCGAGUCCCAUAAAUUUCAUGGUCAUUAAAGGUUUAUAUGGUUGUUAACUUUAGGAUGUCGAGAGAUUAGUCGAGAUGCACAUAAACUGACCUAAAUACUCACAAUUACAAAAUAAUAAAAACUUAAUUUUAAUUUCACCAACGAAACGUGCCAUGUUUAAUUUCUUGUUAUGUAAAAAUUAAAUAAAUAAAUUAGAGUUAUUGAAACUGGAAGAAAUCAUAAGCUACUGUGCAGGAAAAAAAUAAUUAAUAAAUGCAUUCCAAGCUGGAGAUAUGGUAAAGGAAAACAGGAAUUUAAUUCAACUUGGAAUAUAUUUAGAUCAGGAUGGUUUUUUUUUUUUUGGAUAGCAUCAUGGAAGAGUACAUGGUCAAGAUAAGAAUGCUUUUGUUUGAGAGAUCAAUUUCUCAACAUUGUUGUUUUAUUUCAAGUUUUACAAGCUAUUAGAAUAUAUAGUAAUAUUCUCUUGGUUUCUUCCUAAAGCAGCCAUGGAUAUGGUUCUUCAUUAUAUAAAACGUGAAAAGCAUAUGUAAAAUUGCUUCUACUAUUUUAUGUUGGUGAAGCACACCAGUACACGUAAAAAGAAGGAUAAAAAACAGGAAUGCUUGUAUGAAUUCCGAAAGGGCUGCUAUACAAGCCACCAAGAAUCCUACCAUUCUUCAUGGAACUUGGAACAAACAAUGUGAGAAGCAUAACUAUUAAUCCUGAUUGAGAGGUUGAUCCGGUGUAAAAUCAAUGUUACUGAUUAGACAAAUUAAUUUGAAUUUAUUUAUUUAUUUUUAAAUUUAAAACAACCCCUGAAUUAUAUAAAAAAAAUUAAUAAAUUUUAAUGUAAUCAACCGAGUCCUAGAUUAACCCAAAUAUUUUAGAUCAACUUCACUUAUUUUUUUAAAAAAAAUUAAUUUUAACUAGGUUUCAGAUCAACCUGAUGGAUUGAAUGGUUUAGUAACCCUCUACGAUUUGUCACUUGAUUGCUCCCUUCAACAAUUGAACAAUGACCUUUUUUAAAAAAAAAAAUUCUCCUUUGAAAUUAUUUUUUAUAUUUCCUCAAAUCAAACUGGAUUUGAUGCACAUAAUCUAAGUUAAUAUAAUUGAGAUCUUCAAAAUAAAAAAAGUCCAUGUGGGUGCGUGUGUAGUACAAGUCCUUGAAAGAAGUAGGUCAGUCUCCCUUGAAUAUAUCUAUCAGAAGACUAGCAAUAGGAUCAUAGCUAAAUCAUUAAAUGAAGAAGAAGACUUUUAUCAAAGUGAUUUUCAUUUUUCUUUAAAAAAGCAAGUGAACAGAACCUGCAAUGAAGCUUCCACAUGCGUAUAUUUCACUAUAAAUACCACCACACAAUCAUACCUUCCUCUCACAAUAAUUCCUAACACAAGCAAUUGUCUUUAUAUUCUUUGUUGACGCCAAGAGACGAAGCAAGCAAGAAAAAGAGAGAAAAAUGUUGCAUAGCAUUAUUGAUGCCAUUACAGGUGAUCAUAGUAAUGGUACUAAAAAGAUGGUGAAGAAAAUCAAAGGGACUGUUGUGCUGAUGAAGAAAAAUGUUCUGGACUUCAAUGAUUUCAAUGCAUCAGUUCUUGAUCGUGUUCAUGAGUUCUUAGGCCAAAGAGUCUCUCUGCAACUCGUUAGCGCUGUUAACAGUGAUCCCUCUGGUGAGUCGUUGAUAUAUAUUUCUUUAUUUUGUUGCUUUUUCAACCUCGAAAACCAUUUUUUGUGGGAUAAUUUGAGCCUGAACCUCUUCAGGAACCAUCUUCUUAUGCUUCAUUCUCUGUAGUUUACUAGUAUCCAUGCAUGGACGUACUUCACCUUGGAUGAAGUAAAGCAAGCAAAAUAUUUGUAGCGUAUCAAGGAAAUCAGAUAAGAGGAACCAAGAUCAUGUUCAUGAUCUGCUUGUUAAAGACUCAUCAAUUAAUUACUUCUUAAUGACUUGAUUAGGAAUGGAUCAUCACUUUUUAAUAUAUUGUUUGUGCUUGAAAAAAGUAGAAACUUGUGCAUAAACACCACAGGGAGCAUACAAGUUGAUUUGGUAAGGCACGAAACCCACUACUGCUACUUUUUGGACAUGUAUGGAUGAUCAUGUCGAGGACUAGGGGCAUAAAGAUUCUGACAUUACAUAUACCUAAAUGCAGUGUGCUUAGAGUAAAUUUCUAAAUCGAAAUGAGGCCAAACCAAGUCACGGGCAUCACCUCAAGUGGACCUUUUUUUUAUUUCGUUUAUAUAAUCUUUGGACCUGCUAAUAUUUCAUAAUUAGAUAUAAUUGCCUUUGUAGUAGAGGGGGCAUAAGGCUUAUCGAGGGACUUGAUUGGCUGCUCUUAAUUGUAGAAUUAUAGCUUGAUUUAAUUAUGAAGUAAGGGAUUACUCUAUUAAUUAGUUCUUAACCUGAAGAGAAACCUCAUGUUUUAUUUAUUAAUCAAGAUAAGGUAAAAAUAGUAUUUUCAAUACAUGAACAUAUGCAGAUGCCAUAUAGUAUUUGUCGUCUCAUCGAACUCCAUGCAUUAUUUGAUAGUGAUUUUGAGAAGCAUAAAUUCACUUACCUUUCAACAAACCGCAUGCCACAACCUAUACCUCGAAACGAAAUUUCAUUGCAAGUGAGAUAUUUUGUGUUGCAUGACUCUAUAUAUCCCACCAUAAUUGUCACAUCAUUUGUAAUUAUAAUAACAGUAAAUGGACCUGCAAUUUCCUGAGAUUAUACUGUAAUUAGCUAUCUAAAGUGGAUUUUGGUGCCUUUUGUAGAGAAUGAUUUGAAAGGGAAGCUAGGAGAGCCUGCAUAUUUGGAAGAAUGGAUUACCACCAUCACUUCCUUAACCGCCGGCGAGUCGGCUUUCAAGGUCACCUUUGACUGGGAUGAGGAGAUUGGAGUUCCAGGGGCAUUUCUGAUAAGAAACAAUCAUCACAGUGAAUUCUACCUCAAGACUGUCACACUUGAAGAUGUUCCUGGCCAAGGCCGAGUCCACUUUGUUUGCAACUCGUGGAUUUAUCCUACGACGCGUUACAAUUAUGAUCGCGUUUUCUUCACUAACCAGGUAAUUAUGCACCAUAGAAAGCUGAAGGUAGUUGUAAAUGUUUUCCUCAUGAGCUAACAAAUCCUGAUACAUUUGUAUAGAAUUAUCUGCCGCACGAGACACCUGCACCGCUACGUAAAUACAGGGAAGAAGAACUGGUUAAAUUGAGAGGAGAUGGAAAAGGAGAGCUUAAGGAAUGGGACCGCGUUUACGACUAUGCUUACUACAAUGAUUUGGGAGAUCCUGACAAGGGUGCAAAGUAUGCCCGCCCUGUUCUUGGUGGAUCUUCUGAGUACCCUUAUCCUCGUAGGGGCAGAACUGGCCGAGCACCAGCAAAAUCAGGUCAUUACCGGCCCGUUGUGCGUCAUCUCGCAUUCAUGUUAUCAUCAAUGGUUUGUGAUUUUAUUUUUUGUUCACACUCUUACAAUUUCCGUGAUCUAAACAGAUCCCAACACUGAGAGUAGGCAGCCGCUUCUCAUGAGCUUAAACAUAUAUGUUCCAAGAGAUGAACGAUUCGGUCACCUGAAGAUGUCUGACUUCCUUGCUUAUGCACUGAAAUCCGUCGCUCAAUUUAUUAGGCCUGAACUGGAAGCUUUAUGUGACAGCACCCCUAAUGAGUUUGACUCCUUUGAUGAUGUACUGGAUCUCUAUGAGGGAGGGUUUAAGCUGCCUGAUGGUCCCCUACUAGAAAAUCUUACGAAAAACAUUCCCGUGGAGAUGCUCAAGGAAAUUAUUCCGACUGAUGGAGAAGGCCUUUUCAGAUUUCCAAAGCCUCAAGUGAUUCAAGGUUUGAACUAAUGCAUUUAACUCUAUGCUUGUGCUGUUCUUAGACUGUCACUUUCUCUUUUUCAGCAACUUAAUUGUGAUCUAUUAAUUAUACAGAGAGCAAUUCUGCUUGGAGGACGGAUGAAGAAUUCGGUAGAGAAAUGCUGUCAGGAGUAAACCCUGUUAUCAUCCGUCGUCUUGAGGUACACUAAAGCUGCAACAAGUUUUUCUUUCGGCAAAAUUUAUAUUUUUUGUUUUUCUUGUGUCUAAGAACAAAUUAUUGCAGGAAUUCCCUCCCAAAAGCAAGCUAGACAGCAAACUUUAUGGUGAUCAAAACAGCACCAUAACUGAGGAGCACAUCAAGGAUAGUCUGGAUGGACUGUCCAUAGAUGAGGUAAGCCAUCUCUCGACUGGUUUCUUCGACAAUUAUGUUUAGAAUCGGAUCUGUGAACGCUUCACGGAUGUAAUUGAUGAAUUUAAUCUUCCCAAAAGACAUGUUGUAGCUGAAACACUUUGCUUCUGAAUAGGCGAUCGAGAAGAACAGGAUGUUCAUAUUAGAUCACCAUGAUGCAUUGAUGCCAUACCUGAGGAGGAUAAACACUACUACCACGAAGACUUAUGCAUCAAGGACUCUGCUUUUCUUGAAAGAUGACGGGACUUUGAAGCCUCUUGUAAUUGAGUUAAGCUUGCCCCAUGAAGAAGGAGAUGAAUUUGGAGCCAUUAGCAAAGUCUACACCCCAGCUGAACAUGGUGUUGAAGGCUCCAUUUGGGAUCUGGCUAAAGCUUAUGUGGCUGUUAACGACUCCGGUUACCAUCAGCUUAUUAGCCAUUUCUUGAACACUCAUGCUGUGAGUGAGCCAUUUGUGAUUGCAACAAAUAGACAACUCAGCGUGCUUCACCCAAUCUAUAAACUUUUGGAACCUCACUUCCGUGACACAAUGAACAUCAAUGCGCUCGCUAGGCAGACGCUCAUCAAUGCUGGUGGAAUCCUGGAAUCAACAGUUUAUCCUGCAAAGUAUGCCAUGGAAAUGUCAUCAGUAAUUUACAGAAACUGGAAUUUCACAGAGCAAGCACUUCCUGAAGACCUGAAGAAGAGGUAAACCUUAGUUUACUCGUAAAGGCUAAUUCAUAGUUGUUCAUAAUUAAUUUGCUAGAAUCUUAGAACUUGAAAUUAAAAAAACCACAGAGAAAUGCGUUGGGAACUUAGACUAUGGUUAAUUCUGUGAUGAUGCUGUAUUUCAUUUCAAUGACAUGUGCUACCUUGUUUACUCAGAGGAGUGGCAGUUGAGGAUCCAAAGUCUCCACAUGGUGUUCGCCUACUGAUAGAAGACUAUCCAUACGCUGUUGAUGGGCUAGAGAUAUGGUCAGCAAUCAAAGAAUGGGUCAGAGACUAUUGCUCUUUCUACUACAAGAAUGAUGAGAUGAUUCAAAAGGAUUCUGAACUACAAUCAUGGUGGAAGGAAGUGAGAGAGGAAGGGCAUGGUGACCUGAAAGAUGCACCCUGGUGGCCUAAGAUGCUGACUCGUGAAGAGCUAAUAGACUCAUGCACCAUAAUCAUAUGGGUGGCAUCAGCUCUCCAUGCAGCUGUCAAUUUUGGUCAGUACCCUU
rnacentral:lncRNA from 1 species